rnacentral:rRNA from 1 species
CGAACGCUGGCGGCGUGCUUAACACAUGCAAGUCGAACGAGACGAUUGAAAGCUUGCUUUGAGAGUCGAGUGGCAAACGGGUGAGUAACGCGUAGACAACCUGCCGCAAAGAUGGGGACAACAGUCCGAAAGGACUGCUAAUACCGAAUGUUGUCAAGUUUCCGCAUGGGAGCUUGAUUAAAGAUGGCCUCUACUUGUAAGCUAUCGCUUUGCGAUGGGUCUGCGUCUGAUUAGCUGGUUGGUGGGGUAACGGCCUACCAAGGCGACGAUCAGUAGCCGGUCUGAGAGGAUGAACGGCCACAUUGGAACUGAGACACGGUCCAGACUCCUACGGGAGGCAGCAGUGGGGAAUCUUCCGCAAUGGGCGAAAGCCUGACGGAGCAACGCCGCGUGAGUGAAGAAAGGGUUUCGGCUCGUAAAGCUCUGUUGAUGGGGACGAAUGUGCGAAAUGCGAAUAGUUUUUCGCAAUGACGGUACCCGUCGAGGAAGCCACGGCUAACUACGUGCCAGCAGCCGC